CUCCUCCGGCGGGAUGUGGCCUGGCGCGGAGGACCGGAGGGCGGAGCUGAGGCCCGAGGCCAGCCAGCAUGGGGGUGGGUCGAGGCGCAGCUCGAAGGCCAGCAAGUUGGCAGCAGCUGGCGGGACAGUGACAAGGGAGAGGCCGAGUCUCUCCAGCCAGGGGCGAAGCUCUUUGAGCGAGGUGGGCGGGCGGCUCGGGGCCAUGGCCAGGGCGGGCAUGGAGCGGUGGCGCGACCGGCUGGCACUGGUGACAGGAGCCUCGGGGGGCAUCGGCGCAGCGGUAGCCCGGGCCUUGGUCCAACAGGGACUGAAGGUGGUGGGUUGUGCCCGCACCGUGGGCAACAUCGAGGAGCUGGCUGCUGAAUGUAAGAGUGCAGGCUACCCCGGGACUUUGAUCCCCUACAGAUGUGACCUGUCAAAUGAGGAGGACAUCCUCUCCAUGUUCUCUGCCGUCCGCUCUCAGCACAGUGGUGUGGACAUCUGUAUCAACAAUGCUGGCUUGGCCCGGCCUGACACCCUGCUGUCAGGCAGCACCAGUGGCUGGAAGGACAUGUUCAACGUGAAUGUGCUGGCGCUCAGCAUCUGCACCCGGGAAGCCUACCAGUCCAUGAAGGAGCGCAAUGUGGAUGACGGGCACAUCAUUAACAUCAACAGCAUGUGUGGCCACCGAAUCUUACAGGACAGUGUGAUGCAUUUCUAUACCGCAACCAAGUAUGCUGUGACUGCACUGACUGAAGGACUGAGGCACGAGCUUCGGGAGGCCCAGUCCCACAUUCGAGCCACGGCCCUCUCUGUUGGCCCAGUGCAUCUCUCCAGGCUUGGUGGAGACACAGUUCGCCUUCAAACUCCAUGACAAGGACCCUGAGAGAGCAGCUGCCACCUAUGAACACAUCAAGUGUCUCAAACCUGAGGAUGUGGCUGAGGCAGUCAUCUACGUCCUCAGCUGUCCCCCACAUGUCCAGAUUGGAGACAUCCAGAUGAGGCCCACGGAGCAGGUGACCUAGUGUCCAGUGGGGAGCUCCUCUUCCCUACACCUCAUGGCUUGGCUCCUGCCUGUGAAUUUUAAGUGUUGAUUUCUGGGCCCCUGGACCCCAACUUUCUAACCCCACCCCUACCAAGGGCUAGGAAAUUUGUCUAAGGUUUUAGAAUCAGCUUGUCAAAUUAUUUCCAAUGCAAAUGUGAAAAAAUGGGCCAGAGAAAGAAGGUGGGAUCCCUGGUUAAUUUACCUCUUAGUUUGUUCUGGGUCCUUUUCUUGGGCUUCUGGGACCCUUUCUUGGGCUUCUUGGCCUUUGUCUGCUCUCCUCAGUCUUUUUCUUCCCUUUGACUUGGGAAUGGGGAUGUGGCUAAAAAGGGGUUUUUCCCUCUCUCUUCUUGGAUCCCAGGAUCUUUCCUUAGGGUUGAGGUGAUGGAGAGAGGCCCUCACCUUAUAUUGGAGUGGUUUCUCCCUGCCUGCCCCCCAAUCUUGGCUUCCCCAGUGGGGUCAUCAUUCCCUUCCGUGACAGCAGAAUACCAGGGCCUGGCUUCACUGUGAUGAUUAAAAAAAAAAUCGCAACAACCUA